CCAGACUCCUACGGGAGGCAGCAGUAGGGAAUCUUCGGCAAUGGACGAAAGUCUGACCGAGCAACGCCGCGUGAGUGAAGAAGGUUUUCGGAUCGUAAGACUCUGUUGGUAGAGAAGAACGUUGGUGAGAGUGGAAAGCUCAUCAAGUGACGGUAACUACCCAGAAAGGGACGGCUAACUACGUGCCAGCAGCCGCGGUAAUACGUAGGUCCCGAGCGUUGUCCGGAUUUAUUGGGCGUAAAGCGAGCGCAGGUGGUUUAUUAAGUCUGGUGUAAAAGGCAGUGGCUCAACCAUUGUAUGCAUUGGAAACUGGUAGACUUGAGUGCAGGAGAGGAGAGUGGAAUUCCAUGUGUAGCGGUGAAGUGCGUAGAUAUAUGGAGGAACACCGGUGGCGAAAGCGGCUCUCUGGCCUGUAACUGACACUGAGGCUCGAAAGCGUGGGGAGCAAACAGGAUUAGAUACCCUGGUGGUCCACGCCGUAAACGAUGAGUGCUAGAUGUAGGGAGCUAUAAGUUCUCUGUAUCGCAGCUAACGCAAUAAGCACUCCGCCUGGGGAGUACGACCGCAAGGUUGAAACUCAAAGGAAUUGACGGGGGCCCGCACGAG
rnacentral:rRNA from 1 species